CAGUGAUACGUAGCCGACUUGAGAGGGUGAUCGGCCACACUGGGACUGAGACACGGCCCAGACUCCUACGGGAGGCAGCAGUAGGGAAUCUUCCACAAUGGGUGCAAACCUGAUGGAGCAAUGCCGCGUGAGUGAAGAAGGUCUUCGGAUCGUAAAGCUCUGUUGUUAGAGAAGAACACGUGCUAGGUAACUACUAGCGCCUUGACGGUAUCUAACCAGAAAGUCACGGCUAACUACGUGCCAGCAGCCGCGGUAAUACGUAGGUGACAAGCGUUGUCCGGAUUUAUUGGGCGUAAAGGGAGCGCAGGCGGUCUGUUUAGUCUAAUGUGAAAGCCCACGGCUUAACCGUGGAACGGCAUUGGAAACUGACAGACUUGAAUGUAGAAGAGGAAGAUGGAAUUCCAAGUGUAGCGGUGGAAUGCGUAGAUAUUUGGAGGAACACCAGUGGCGAAGGCGAUUUUCUGGUCUAACAUUGACGCUGAGGCUCGAAAGCGUGGGGAGCGAA
rnacentral:rRNA from 1 species